rnacentral:rRNA from 1 species
GUAGAGUGCUAUUUUUUUAGAGAUAGAAAUUUCCCUUCGGGGCUUUUCUUGCAAGGUGCUGCAUGGUUGUCGUCAGCUCGUGCCGUAAGGUGUCGGGUUAAGUCCCAUAACGAGCGCAACCCUUAUCGUUAGUUGCCAUCUGGUAAUGCAGGGGACUCUAGCGAAACUGCCACCGUAAGGUGAGAGGAAGGUGGGGAUGACGUCAAAUCAGCACGGCCCUUAUGUCCAGGGCUACACACGUGUUACAAUGGUCGGUACAGAGGGCAGCUACCUGGUCCCGACAGGAUGCUAAUCUCGAAAACCGGUCUCAGUUCGGAUCGGAGUCUGCAACUCGACUCCCGUGAAGCUGGAUUCGCUAGUAAUCGCGCAUCAGCCAUGGCGCGGUGAAUACGUUCCCGGGCCUU